GAAGUUAGGAAGGGCUGUCUGGUCCUCACA
rnacentral:piRNA from 1 species